UUUCCUGAGAUGGCUGUCAUGGAUAUUUCCUCCUUAGGUCAAUAUCAGGUAAUCAAGACAGAAUGCUGCUUUAUCAAGGGCAGGACUGUAAACUCUUGCAAGUCCUUCACUGGUAAGCCAACCAGCUAAAAAGACUUCUGAAUUAGACCUCACAUGUGAAUGGAAGUGGAUACAAGGGUUCAGCUCAAAAGUCUCAGAGCAAAAGCCUUUAGGCUCAUGUAAAAGGACAGCAUGAUGCAUCACAGCACUCAAGUAAGCUGACACAGCAUGCAUACACCAGGGCUACAACAUUUCAGUGGUCACUCCAGAAUAAGCAUCUGAAGAUGGUCACUGUCCUACACAGCAAUGCAACCACAUUUUUUUUUCCUUGAGACUGUCCCUUUGAAUGUCUGUUCACAGUUCUUUCCUGAGCAGGAAAAGUAAUUUGACCGGUUUUGAUGCAAAAUGUCUACUGCCUAGCAUUUUCUUCAGAGGUAUACAAAUAAAUUCCUGAAGAUUUUUCCACACACAGAAAAUCCCACAUUGUGUCUAGAAGAACAGAUUACAGAAACUUCACCACUUAAUAAACUGCUUAUCUUCAAAAAACCCGCUAUGGCCUAUUAUCUCAGCAGUAACUGCCAAGAUACAGCAAACUGUAACAGCUUCAGAAGACAGAGCAUCUGCUGAAGGAGUCCAAAGUAAUUUCCAGUUUUCAAAAACAAGAGUUAUGUCAACUCACUUGCCUUAUACAAUUAUCCAAAGCAGUCCAUUGAGAGGUCCAAGAUCAUUAGUGAACAUAUAAUAAAAGAUCCCUUUUUAAGAUAAUCACUGGAAAAUUUUAUGACUUUACCAAGAUUAUUUUAAUCUUGGCUAAUCUUACUUCAAGCAGAUCUCCUUAAGUCCAGUUAUGUUCCUGAGCUCUAAAACAUCUGGUGAAAACGGAAGAAUUACUUUGACUCCUUCUAAGACUCUGGUGUCAAAGGGUCAGACUAUUUUCACCGGACUAAUACAAGGCCAUGGCAAGACUCACACUGCAGAUUUGCUCGUCUGACCUCCUGAAGCAUUUCUGGAAGUCAGCUGAAGCGCUGCCCGCCUUGCAUUAUCACCUGUGCUCCCACCAUUUCGGCAUGGGAGACCUGCACCACCAGCUGGGUAAAUCCAGCGCCUUUUGGCUUUCCGUGCGCUGUUCUUAAAUUACCUGAUCUGCUGCUUCUCCUUGGCCAAACCUGCCCUUUGGUUAGGAAAGCGUCGGGAAGCCGAUCCGCACAGCUAGAUGGAGGUGUAUAUUGUACACGAAGCCAUAGGCAAAGGUAAACCACACAUCCGUGAUUUCACAGAAAGCUGCACCCUUGGGAGAUGAUCAAGAGUUUUGUCGCUUUGGUUUUAGGUAGCUGAAGUCUCACUGACAGUGAACUCUCCCAUUAGCUAUCCGAGGACAAUGGCUUCUGUACCAGGAUUUUUAAACCCCGCAGCGUUUGUUUUAUCCCGAAAGAGAAGGAGCUGAUGCCCACUGGGAGGCAGUACGGGCCAAUGGACACGGUGUUCGUGCCAGCCAGCCCCUCUCUCUGCCGCAGCCACCAAUGACAGCAGAUUGGAGAAGGCGUCAUGUUUCUGUUUGACCGCUGUGUCUGCCUGCCCUGAUUCCUCAACAGCGAGCAUCGUCUACCUUUCUUCUUCUCACGCACAGGCCAUGCAGUCGGACUCCAGAAGUAUUAGAUUAGUACUGACCUUGGAAAUGUUUUAUUUCAGUUGUAUCCUUGUUAAGGAUGUGCUGAACUUUCCAAUUCUGCAUUUACAGUUCCUCCUAUGUAGUAAAGUGCCUGAGAAGACCUAUAGAACAUAUUUUCACUCUUGUAGAAUUUGUAUCAGCUAAGACAGAAAAUUCAAAUUAAAUUUGGCUUUGGAUUGCCUCCAGUACUAUUCAAAACUACUUUUCAAAGUCUUUUACAACCUGGAGAGAAAAAGAUGGAGGGUUAAACAUAGUCUUUAGUCCCACUCAGUUACAAAAUGUAAGUAAAUAUAAAUUUAUAUAUAAAAAUAUAAGUAUAUAUAAAAGUAAAAGAAGUACAUAAUAUAAAAAUAUAUAAAUGUAAACCAUGAUGCUUUUACUAUACAGGCAGUAUUAAAACAAAACACAAAUCUGUUAUUAGGGAAUUAAUCCAUCUCUGUUAGACUGAUAUUUAGUCAUUCAAAUGCUUCAAACAGGCUGGCAACUGUCACAAUGUUUGUGUCUGUAUGUGGACACCUACUGCUUGUCACAUAGAAAUCAUAUGUUCACUUCUCCAUGUAUGACUCCAAAUAAAUAUGCAAUGGCAUUUAAGUCAUUACAAAGCCUGGCUGCUCUUGAACCAGAGACCUAGGAUGACCUGGAGGUGAGGUAUCCCAUUACCAAUCCCCUAAGCCAUGCAGUUGCCUUAUUGCUGGGGAUUUGGGGGAUGGUGUCUGGAGCAGGGUCACUAAUCAAUGUCAAAACCUCAUGCAGUUGCUCGCAUAGGAGAAGCAUCUGGAUGUGGAUCUACCCCUUAACUAUUGUCCUGAAUAUCUGGCCACAAAAAACUACUCUGCUUGUUCAGAACACAGUGUCUGAAAGGAAAUUCCUACAGACUUUUGUACCUCUCAAGGUGAAAAUUAUGUGUUACAAAGCUCCAUCAUACAACAAGCUGCUCUAAAGGCUUCAUUCUACAUAAAACCUCACAUUUUGCUCAUUUGAGGGUUUUCUUCUAUCAACACACAGACUAUCUUUGUAAAAUCUGCAGUUCAGGGGCCAAAUUUUCUUUCUACUUAGUGCAGAGAGCACAAAACACACCUGUUUUUUUUUUUUUCAUGUAAAUAGGUUUGAAAUUAAAUCUUUGAAAUUAGCAACGGUGUGCUGGUUUUGACUGGGGUAGAGUCUAUCUUGAGACUAGCUGGUAUGGGGCUACAUUUUGGUUUUGUGCUGGAAAGGAUAACACCAGGAUGUUUUGGUUGUUGCUGCUCAGGGCUUGCCCAGGAUCAAGGCCUUUUGUGCUCCUCACCACCAGACAGGAGGCUGGGGGCUACAUGAGGAAUUGGGAGAGGACACAGCUGGGGCAGCUGUCCCCCACUGACCAAAGGAUAUUCCAGACCAUAUGGCACCAUGCUCGGUAUAUAAAGCUGGGGGUAGAAAAAGGAAGGGAGUGGUACACUUGAAUUGAUGUUAUUUGUCUUCCCAAGUCACCAUAAGGCAUGAUGAAGCUCAGCUUUCCUGGAGAUAGCUGAACACCCACCUGCCUAUGGGAAGGGGUGAAUGAGUUUCUUCUUUUGCUUUGCUUGUGUGCAUAGCUUUUUCUUUACUUAUUUAAAUGUCUUUACCUCAACCCAAAAGUUUUCCUACUUUUACCCUUCCAGUUCUCACCCACAUCCUGCUGGGGGUGAGUGCCUGAGAGGUGGUGUGGUGCUUAGUUGCCAGCUGGGGUUAAACCAUGACAAAUGGAUUCUAGACCUCAAACAGUUACACUUUCCUGAGAUGUUUCCAGAUAUAACUACCAGUACUUCAUUAAGCGCAGUAUUUCCCCACACAAUAUACUCUAGGCUUCGUGUAAUAGCAAACUUGGUCAUGCUUUGAUUAAAGAAAGUGUUGGAAAAUGCCAGCUGGCAGAAAGUAACUUGGUUCCUAAGCAGAAUACUCUCAACACAAACAACACCUUUGCUCCAGUGAAGCCUUCCAGCUCCGUGUAAUCUCUUUUCCCAUCCUGACCUUACAUUUGGAUGGUCAUCACUAAACAAAGCCUUUGCUGUUUUCCGCACUCUUACUUCGGAUCUAAGGCGAGCUGGCCAUUGACACUUACAGAAAGCUCAUGCAGUGUCUCAGCCCUACAGCAGAUUUAUUAGUACUGCAUAUCAAAGUCCUGGUGUGUCCUGGUGGAAUCCAAAACACACCUUCCCUAGUUUUCAUCUGAGAAGGUAGGAAGUCAAUGUGUGGCUGAAGAUGCCUGGCCAGAUCUCCCUUUAUUUUAAGCUCAUAUUCUCUUCUGACACCACCCUCGGCACUGAAGGAUUUGAAGAGAGAUUCUGGAUUAAUGAGGUGGUCACUACAAGGAAUUAUCCAAAGGUUUGGCAUACAUUAUGAUGAAUAUAAAGUUAUGCCGUAAAUAUUUACAGUGUAUGUAUAUUUAACCUCAGAGUUGACAAAAAUGAAGUACAGGAUUUUAAAUUCUUCCUAAUUUCUGAGAUUGUUUUAAAAGUACUUUAAUCAAAUAAGUACCUCUGGGGAAUACUUAAUAUAUGCUGUUGCAACUUACACUGUGAUUGCUUAAUCUUCACUGUUUUGUGUUCAUAAUCUCUAGUCUUUAAUACCAUUCUUCCUGUAAUUCUCAAUUAUCCUUCUUUUUUUAAGCCAGCAGUUUAGCCAUGCAUGUCCUACCAAAAAUUAUCCUUCAGUGUUUCAGCAUUUGAAUAGAUGCUUUUGGCAGAGUACUGUUCGCCUCCUUUGCUUUUCCUGUCACUUUUAUGAAGAAUGUGUUAUGAAGUUCCUGUCAUUACAUUUAGCCCCCAUACUCCUGUCAUGCCUACUUAGUCUGUUUUAUUCCUGCAGUAUCACCUCCAGCUCCUCUUCUCUUUUCCCACACAUCAACAGUAAGCAAGCUCAUUAUUUUGUACUGGUCUGGACUCUACCAAUGUCCUGAAGAUUGGAAUGUAAAAUGAUUCUUUUUCCAGCUGCCCUUUCUGAUAAUGAGUACCAGUAAAUGUUUAUGAACUAUAUUGUAUUAUUAAUACUGCU